GCCAUGUAAGACGUGCCUUUCACCUUCUACCAUGAUUGUAAGGCCUCCCCUGCCACGUGGAACUGUGAGUCCAUUAAACCUCUUUUUCUUUAUAAAUUACCCAGUCUCAGGCAUGUCUUUAUCAGCAGUGUAAAAAUGGACUAAAACACAGUUCUUUCUGUUUGCUUCUCUUUAUGUUUCUAAUUAGCUUCCUCAACCUCUAUCUUUUCUCUAAUUCAUAGCUUCUAUUUAAUCUUUGGUUUGUUCCCUCAUUAUUUUGAUUUAUUGGUGCUGGUUCUUGCUGCUAGUGGUCUUAAACUGUACAAGGUGAACCUGGGUCGUGUGUAACAUGCAUGUUUGUUCCCUAGCCUGCAUCAGGACCACCUUCAUGAAUAUCCAUAGCUCCUGUUGAAUAUGUAUGUUUAGCUAACUCAUUCAUCAUAUAUCUUCUACCCCAAUCCCUUCUCCUUCAAAGUGCCUGUCUUUGGUGUAGCCCUCCCAGCUUGCCAGAUGGCCACCUUGCAGGUUGUAACCCUUUAUAAGAAAUAAAGUCUCCUUUUCC
rnacentral:lncRNA from 1 species